GAUGGACGCUGGCGGCGUGCCUAAUACAUGCAAGUCGAGCGAACAGACGAGGAGCUUGCUCCUCUGACGUUAGCGGCGGACGGGUGAGUAACACGUGGAUAACCUACCUAUAAGACUGGGAUAACUUCGGGAAACCGGAGCUAAUACCGGAUAAUAUAUUGAACCGCAUGGUUCAAUAGUGAAAGACGGUUUUGCUGUCACUUAUAGAUGGAUCCGCGCCGCAUUAGCUAGUUGGUAAGGUAACGGCUUACCAAGGCAACGAUGCGUAGCCGACCUGAGAGGGUGAUCGGCCACACUGGAACUGAGACACGGUCCAGACUCCUACGGGAGGCAGCAGUAGGGAAUCUUCCGCCAUGGGCGAAAGCUUGACGGAGCAACGCCGCGUGAGUGAUGAAGGUCUUCGGAUCGUAAAACUCUGUUAUUAGGGAAGAACAAAUGUGUAAGUAACUAUGCACGUCUUGACGGUACCUAAUCAGAAAGCCACGGCUAACUACGUG
rnacentral:rRNA from 1 species